rnacentral:rRNA from 1 species
UUCUUUAAGAAAUAAUUUAAAGUAAAACCUGCUCAAUGUAACACCCAUAAAUAGCCGCAGUUCCACUGUGCUAAGGUAGCAUAAUCACUAGCUUCUUAAUUAGAAGACCGCAUGAAAGGUAAAACGAAAUAAAACUGUUUCUAAUAAUAAAAUAAAUUUAAUUUUCUAUGUAAAAAAGCAAGAAUAAAUAAACAAGACGACAAGACCCUGAUAAACUUAUCAUUUAGUUGGGGCAACUUAAUAAAUAAACUUUAUACAAAUAAACAAACCCAUCCCUAACAUAAUAGGAAUUUAAUAGUUACUACAGGGAUAACAGCGCAAUUUUUCUUUAGAGCUCACAUCCCAAGAAAAGCUUACGACCUCGAUGUUGAAUUAAUUAUACUAUAAACCGCAAAAGAAUUAUAAGUCAGUCUGUUCGACUACUAACCAAUU